AUAUGAUCCAACACUUUGGGAUCCUUCAGGGUGAAAGGAGCUAUGGGCUUGCUUUGCCUUCUCCUUAUCCUCCUGUAAGCAAGGUUGGUGGUGCAGACACAUAGAGCAUGUGUGAUUGGGAAAGGCGCUAUAUAAAGGGAAGAAGAAAUCUCCUUGCACAGAGUAGUAAAGGACUGUGAAGCCCUGCCCUGGGGAAGGGCUGGAGGACACCUGUUAGAGCUGAACUAUCACUGGAUACAACACACUUUAUUAAGGCAUUCCUGAGUUCUGCAUGUCAACUCAGCUGUCUUUACAGAGAGCAGGGCCAG